GUUUCCGUGGUGUAGUGGUUAGCACAGUUGCCUGAUACUCGACAGACUCGGGUUCGAACCCCGACGGAGACG